ensembl:lncRNA
GUAAGGUUCCUUUCGUGUGAAGAUGCCGCUCUUUGGGAAAAUUAUUAUCAUCAAACGGAAUGGGACUGACGGCAUUUAUUUUCCGCUCACUGCCAGCUCAUGUUUGUUUGGAAGGAGAACAGAAUGUGAUAUUCGCAUCCAUUUGCCUCAGGUCUCGAAAGAACAUUGUAAAAUUGAAGUAAAUGAGAACAAGGAGGUGAGUUUCACCUGUGUGUUAGUGACAUUUGCGUUGUGUUGUUGCAUCUCACUGCGAUUCUGACGUGUUUGCUUUCUUUUUAGGCAAUACUGACUAAUUUAAGUACAGUAAAUCCCACACAGCUGAAUGGUGAUUAUUUCCAGCAGCCCGUGGCUCUGAAACAUGGGGAUGUGUUAACCAUUAUCGAUCGUUCUUUCAGGUGAGUGUCAAGCACCUGCUGUGAAUGCCUUGGUCCUUGAGGGUGCUCUGCAGGCCAGCAGUGCUGAGAGCUCUAUGGCACAAGCUCUGGCUGGUGGGGCAUUGGGUUGUGGAUGCCCCAUCCCUGCAGGCAUUCAAGGCCAGGCUGAAUGUGGCUCUGGGCAGCCUGGACUGUUGGUUGGUGACCCUGCACAUAACAGGGAGUUAGAACUGGAUGAACAUUGUGGGCCUUUUCAACCCAGGCCAUUCUAUGAUUCUAUUUUACUUUUAAAUACUUUCUCUAGAUUUGAAUAUCCUCUCCAAUCAACUCUGAAGAAGAGACGAUCCAGAUCUCCAAAAGAUGAAAAGCUGCAGCAGGUAGCAGAAGUGGAGCUGUUAUCCAAACAAACUUCAGGAUCUAAAAGUCUUUGUUCUUCAGGUUUGUACCUGUAUUAGAGGGGGGUGGUUAUAUUAUUUUUCAUGAGGAGGGUGGUGACGCACUGUUCACAGGUUGCCCAAGGAGGCUGUGGAUGCCCCAUCCCUGCAGGCAUUCAAGGCCAGGCUGGAUGUGGCUCUGGGCAGCCUGGGCUGCUGGUUGGUGACCCUGCACACAGCAGGGAGUUGAAAGUUGAUCUUUGUGGUCCUUUUCAACCCUUCUGUGAUUCUUCCAACCUAAUUUUACUCUAUGAGUAUCAGGAGGAAAAAGCAAUGCUGAAAAAGGGAAAGAGGGAAACCCACACCUAUUCUUAAAGACUUUUCAGUCUGAGUACAGUAUGCCUUUGUAUGCCUGUGUACUGUUUCAUUGUAGUUUGUGAUUUACCAAAACAGAGUCCCAUCAGGAGAAAUAACAUAGUUGCAUCCUGACAAACAGGCAAAACAGCUAAACUGGAACGAGCAGGAUAUGUUUGUAUCGCUCUAAAUGAUUUCUGCAGGUUCGGUUUAUUUAUAUUUUUGAAGCUGCAAUGCAAAAUGACAUUUGGAACAGAUGUGUGAAACUUCAUUGGUUGCUACAUUUACUUUCCAGUGACAACUGUAACACCACAAAGUCACUUUGGUGAUUAAGAUAUGUUAACAGAUUGCAUUUGAGUGAAUAUUGUUGCAAAAGAACGUUGUCAGGUAUUCUUUCUUAAAAAGAGUUUGUAAAAUUUAUAAUUCUAGAGCGACAGUUAGCUCUGCUAAAUCACAGCUCACAGUCUAUGUUAUGUAGGUGUAGUACAAAGUAGCUUUAUUCUAGAUGUGAUAAUUUGGAGUAAUGAUAGCCCUUAAACGGGUCAAAUGCCAGAACCUCCCAUUCUCCCUGUGUUCAGUAAAGAUACUUUCAUGAGAAGAUAGAAGGUUUCAUAGAAUCUAGAAUGUCCUGUGUUCAAAGGAACACACUGUGGAAUCAUGCUUACAUGCUGGAGUCUUGAAGUAGCAAGUUGCUUGCUGUGUCUCAUCUGGGAACUGCUAGCUCUCC